ACUAAGCGUACACGGUGGAUGCCCUGGCAGUCAGAGGCGAUGAAGGACGUGCUAAUCUGCGAUAAGCGUCGGUAAGGUGAUAUGAACCGUUAUAACCGGCGAUUUCCGAAUGGGGAAACCCAGUGUGUUUCGACACACUAUCAUUAACUGAAUCCAUAGGUUAAUGAGGCGAACCGGGGGAACUGAAACAUCUAAGUACCCCGAGGAAAAGAAAUCAACCGAGAUUCCCCAGUAGCGGCGAGCGAACGGGGAGCAGCCCAGAGCCUGAAUCAGUGUGUGUGUUAGUGGAAGCGUCUGGAAAGGCGCGCGAUACAGGGUGACAGCCCCGUACACAAAAAUGCACAUACUGUGAGCUCGAUGAGUAGGGCGGGACACGUGGUAUCCUGUCUGAAUAUGGGGGGACCAUCCUCCAAGGCUAAAUACUCCUGACUGACCGAUAGUGAACCAGUACCGUGAGGGAAAGGCGAAAAGAACCCCGGCGAGGGGAGUGAAAAAGAACCUGAAACCGUGUACGUACAAGCAGUGGGAGCACGCUUCGGCGUGUGACUGCGUACCUUUUGUAUAAUGGGUCAGCGACUUAUAUUCUGUAGCAAGGUUAACCGAAUAGGGGAGCCGAAGGGAAACCGAGUCUUAACUGGGCGUUAAGUUGCAGGGUAUAGACCCGAAACCCGGUGAUCUAGCCAUGGGCAGGUUGAAGGUUGGGUAACACUAACUGGAGGACCGAACCGACUAAUGUUGAAAAAUUAGCGGAUGACUUGUGGCUGGGGGUGAAAGGCCAAUCAAACCGGGAGAUAGCUGGUUCUCCCCGAAAGCUAUUUAGGUAGCGCCUCGUGAAUUCAUCUCCGGGGGUAGAGCACUGUUUCGGCAAGGGGGUCAUCCCGACUUACCAACCCGAUGCAAACUGCGAAUACCGGAGAAUGUUAUCACGGGAGACACACGGCGGGUGCUAACGUCCGUCGUGAAGAGGGAAACAACCCAGACCGCCAGCUAAGGUCCCAAAGUCAUGGUUAAGUGGGAAACGAUGUGGGAAGGCCCAGACAGCCAGGAUGUUGGCUUAGAAGCAGCCAUCAUUUAAAGAAAGCGUAAUAGCUCACUGGUCGAGUCGGCCUGCGCGGAAGAUGUAACGGGGCUAAACCAUGCACCGAAGCUGCGGCAGCGACACUAUGUGUUGUUGGGUAGGGGAGCGUUCUGUAAGCCUGUGAAGGUGUGCUGUGAGGCAUGCUGGAGGUAUCAGAAGUGCGAAUGCUGACAUAAGUAACGAUAAAGCGGGUGAAAAGCCCGCUCGCCGGAAGACCAAGGGUUCCUGUCCAACGUUAAUCGGGGCAGGGUGAGUCGACCCCUAAGGCGAGGCCGAAAGGCGUAGUCGAUGGGAAACAGGUUAAUAUUCCUGUACUUGGUGUUACUGCGAAGGGGGGACGGAGAAGGCUAUGUUGGCCGGGCGACGGUUGUCCCGGUUUAAGCGUGUAGGCUGGUUUUCCAGGCAAAUCCGGAAAAUCAAGGCUGAGGCGUGAUGACGAGGCACUACGGUGCUGAAGCAACAAAUGCCCUGCUUCCAGGAAAAGCCUCUAAGCAUCAGGUAACAUUAAAUCGUACCCCAAACCGACACAGGUGGUCAGGUAGAGAAUACCAAGGCGCUUGAGAGAACUCGGGUGAAGGAACUAGGCAAAAUGGUGCCGUAACUUCGGGAGAAGGCACGCUGAUAUGUAGGUGAAGUCCCUCGCGGAUGGAGCUGAAAUCAGUCGAAGAUACCAGCUGGCUGCAACUGUUUAUUAAAAACACAGCACUGUGCAAACACGAAAGUGGACGUAUACGGUGUGACGCCUGCCCGGUGCCGGAAGGUUAAUUGAUGGGGUUAGCGGUAACGCGAAGCUCUUGAUCGAAGCCCCGGUAAACGGCGGCCGUAACUAUAACGGUCCUAAGGUAGCGAAAUUCCUUGUCGGGUAAGUUCCGACCUGCACGAAUGGCGUAAUGAUGGCCAGGCUGUCUCCACCCGAGACUCAGUGAAAUUGAACUCGCUGUGAAGAUGCAGUGUACCCGCGGCAAGACGGAAAGACCCCGUGAACCUUUACUAUAGCUUGACACUGAACAUUGAGCCUUGAUGUGUAGGAUAGGUGGGAGGCUUUGAAGUGUGGACGCCAGUCUGCAUGGAGCCGACCUUGAAAUACCACCCUUUAAUGUUUGAUGUUCUAACGUUGACCCGUGAUCCGGGUUGCGGACAGUGUCUGGUGGGUAGUUUGACUGGGGCGGUCUCCUCCUAAAGAGUAACGGAGGAGCACGAAGGUUGGCUAAUCCUGGUCGGACAUCAGGAGGUUAGUGCAAUGGCAUAAGCCAGCUUGACUGCGAGCGUGACGGCGCGAGCAGGUGCGAAAGCAGGUCAUAGUGAUCCGGUGGUUCUGAAUGGAAGGGCCAUCGCUCAACGGAUAAAAGGUACUCCGGGGAUAACAGGCUGAUACCGCCCAAGAGUUCAUAUCGACGGCGGUGUUUGGCACCUCGAUGUCGGCUCAUCACAUCCUGGGGCUGAAGUAGGUCCCAAGGGUAUGGCUGUUCGCCAUUUAAAGUGGUACGCGAGCUGGGUUUAGAACGUCGUGAGACAGUUCGGUCCCUAUCUGCCGUGGGCGCUGGAGAACUGAGGGGGGCUGCUCCUAGUACGAGAGGACCGGAGUGGACGCAUCACUGGUGUUCGGGUUGUCAUGCCAAUGGCACUGCCCGGUAGCUAAAUGCGGAAGAGAUAAGUGCUGAAAGCAUCUAAGCACGAAACUUGCCCCGAGAUGAGUUCUCCCUGACUCCUUGAGAGUCCUGAAGGAACGUUGAAGACGACGACGUUGAUAGGCCGGGUGUGUAAGCGCAGCGAUGCGUUGAGCUAACCGGUACUAAUGAACCGUGAGGCUUAACC
rnacentral:rRNA from 1 species